UACGAACUGCGCGAACGUUAUUCGGAAUCACUGGGCUUACAGGGUGCGUAGGCGGCCGGUCAGGUCCGAUGUGAAAUCCCCCAGCUCAACUGGGGAAUGGCAUUGGAAACCGAUCGGCUUGAGUGAGCUAGAGGUGCACGGAACUUCCGGUGGAGCGGUGAAAUGUGUUGAUAUCGGAAGGAACACCAGAGGCGAAGGCGGUGCACUGGGGCUUGUCUGACGCUGAGGCACGAAAGCCAGGGGAGCGAACGGG
rnacentral:rRNA from 1 species